AGUGGCGAACGGGUGAGUAACGCGUGAGCAACUGACCUUUUGAGGGGGAUAACAACAGAAACGGUUGCUAAUACCGCAUAAGACCACACUGUCGCAUGGCAGAGGGGUCAAAGGAGAAAUCCGCAGAAGGAGGGGCUCGCGUCCCAUUAGAUAGUUGGUGAGGUAACGGCUCACCAAGUCAGCGAUGGGUAGCCGAGCUGAGAGGCUGAUCGGCCACACUGGAACUGAGACACGGUCCAGACUCCUACGGGAGGCAGCAGUGGGGAAUAUUGGGCAAUGGGGGAAACCCUGACCCAGCAACGCCGCGUGAGUGAAGAAGGCCUUCGGGUUGUAAAGCUCUGUCAUUAGGGAAGAAGAAAGUGACGGUACCUAAUGAGGAAGCCCCGGCUAACUACGUGCCAGCAGCCGCGGUAAUACGUAGGGGGCGAGCGUUGUCCGGAAUUACUGGGCGUAAAGGGUGCGUAGGUGGCUAUUUAAGUUGGAUGUGAAAUCCCCGGGCUUAACUUGGGUGGUGCAUUCAAAACUGGAUGGCUAGAGUGCAGGAGAGGGAAGCGGAAUUCCUAGUGUAGCGGUGAAAUGCGUAGAUAUUAGGAGGAACACCAGUGGCGAAGGCGGCUUUCUGGACUGUAACUGACACUGAGGCACGAAAGCGUGGGGAGCAAACAGGAUUAGAUACCCUGGUAGUCCACGCUGUAAACGAUGAAUACUAGGUGUAGGGGGUAUGAACUCCCCCUGUGCCGGAGCUAACGCAAUAA
rnacentral:rRNA from 1 species